UCUCCGAUAGCGUAGUUGGUAGCGCGUGAGACUGUUAAUCUCGAGGCCGCAGGUUCGAGCCCUGCUCGGAGAG